rnacentral:rRNA from 1 species
UGACGCAGCCACGCCGCGUGGAGGAAGACGGCCCUACGGGUUGUAAACUCCUUUUCUGGCCGAAGAACCCGGACCCUGCGGGGUCCGCUGACGGUAGGUCAGGAAUAAGCACCGGCUAACUCCGUGCCAGCAGCCGCGGUAAUACGGAGGGUGCAAGCGUUGUCCGGAAUCAUUGGGUGUAAAGGGUACGCAGGCGGGCGUCUGCGUCCGGGGUGAAAUCCUGCCGCUUAACGGUAGAAGGGCCUCGGAUACGGGACGUCUUGAGACCAGCAGAGGCUGGCGGAAUUCGUGGUGUAGCGGUGAAAUGCAUAGAUAUCACGAAGAACACCAGUGGCGAAAGCGGCCGGCUGGGCUGGAUCUGACGCUGAGGUACGAAAGCGUGGGGAGCGAACAGGAUUAGAUACCCUGGUAGUCCACGCUGUAAACGAUGCACACUAGGUGUUGGCCCUUCGGGGUCGGUGCCGCAGCUAACGCAGUAAGUGUGCCACCUGGGGAGUACGUUCGCAAGAAUGAAACUCAAG